rnacentral:rRNA from 1 species
AGUGAACGCUGGCGGUAGGCCUAACACAUGCAAGUCGAACGGCAGCACAGUAAGAGCUUGCUCUUACGGGUGGCGAGUGGCGGACGGGUGAGGAAUACAUCGGAAUCUACUUUUUCGUGGGGGAUAACGUAGGGAAACGUACGCUAAUACCGCAUACGACCUACGGGUGAAAGCAGGGGAUGUUCGGACCUUUCGCGAUUGAAUGAGCCGAUGUCGGAUUAGCUAGUUGGCGGGGUAAAGGCCCACCAAGGCGACGAUCCGUAGCUGGUCUGAGAGGAUGAUCAGCCACACUGGAACUGAGACACGGUCCAGACUCCUACGGGAGGCAGCAGUGGGGAAUAUUGGACAAUGGGGGAAAGCCUGAUACAGCAAUACCGCGUGGGUGAAGAAGGACUUCGGGUUGUAAAGCCCUUUUGUUGGGAAAGAAAAGCAGCAGGUUAAUACCCCGCUGUUCUGACGGUACCCAAAGAAUAAGCACCGGCUAACUCCGUG